GAAACUGUGAAAGUCAUAGCGUUAUUGUUACGGCUGUAUGGUUUUGUUGCGUUGAGGAGAAAGAAAAAAGAGUCCCUGAAAUCACCAUAAAGUCCAUACAGCAUUUCAACUAAAACAUUUCAAACAUACAGCAUUGAAUACAUACGGCAUUAAAACAUGGGGGGAAGGUGAGGAUCCGUUUUCAUCAUAGACAACAUCAAGGUCGUCCCUAUACGGGUUCCAUCUUUAUUGUCACUUUAUUGUCCAUCUAACUCUGUAGUGUUAGUCCGUCUAACUUCUAUAGUUGUAGUCUGUCUAACUCUAUAGUGUAGUCCAUCUAAACUCUGUAGUGUAGUCCGUCUAACUUCUGUAGUGUAGUCCGUCUAACUCUGUAGUGUAGUCCGUCUAACUCUGUAGUGUAGUCCGUCUAACUCUGUACUGUAGUCCGUCUAACUCUGUAGUGUAGUCCGUCUAACUCUGUAGUGUAGUCCGUCUAACUCUGUA